UUUGCCCAAGGUCAUAAUCAGUUAAUAUUGGAAUCAGAAUGAGAAUCUAGGUCUGGCCACAAUUUCAGGUGUCUUCUUUUAAAGUUAUUUAUUUUUAAACACUUUUUUUUUUUUUGAUACAGGAUCUCACUCUGUCACCCAGGCUGGAGUGCAGUGGCAAGAUCGAAGCUCAUUAUAGCCUCGACCUCCCCAGGCUCAGGAGUCACUCAGAAUCCAGCCACCUUGGAUAUGAGGAAGCAGAGCAACCUCAUGGAGAAACCACGUAGGUGUUCCUGCUGACAAUCCUAGCCGAGAUCCCAGCCAACAGCCAGCAUAACCUCAGACAUAUGUUGAAGUAAAUUAAAAUGGAGACCAGGCCUGAAGAAUCUCUGAGCAGACAAAACCAGUUAGGCCUCAUAAGUGACCUCAACCUUGAUUUACAAACACAAGGGAAACUUAUGUUGAGCCAUUUCUUGUAAAUGCCUGUAUUAAAGAAAAACAAAACUUAAGCUCAACCAAUUGGAAGUAGCCAAAAACUUAUAUAACUAGGGACUUUCCAAGAAGGUGAAUGAAUGAAUAAGGCAACUGUAAAAUUGCAAUCAAUCAAAUUAUUUAUUUUGCUCCACAUUUACCCCAUAAAUACUUGCCCCUGAUGAUUUGUCAUGAGAAAAUUAAACUUCUUUUGGUUUGGUAUUUCCCAAUUCAUUAAUUGCUUCCUAUUCAAAUGAACUCUAUUUUUUUUUUUUUUGAGAUGGAGUCUCGCACUGUCACCUGGGCUGGAGUGCAGUGGUGCGAUCUCGGCUCACUGCAACCUCUGCCUCCCCAGUCACACAUUUCUCCUGCCUCAGCCUCCCAAGUAGCUGGGAUUACAGGCGCGUGCCACCACGCCUGGCUAAUUUUUUGUAUUUUUAGUAGAGACGGGGUUUCAUUAUGUUGGCCAGACUGGUCUCAAAUCCUGACCUCGUGAUCCACCCGACUCGGCCUCCCAAAGUGCUGGGAUUACAGGCAUGAGCCACAGCACCCGGCUGGUCAAAUGAGCUCUUAAAAUUUUUUUUUUGUGCCUUAGUUUACCUUUUACAUAUGUGAAUGAGCAACUCCAAAUGAUUCCAGCCCCAAGCUUUUAAGUCAUCUCAGGCUUCCAAGUCUUCUCAGCUGAAGUCUCAGUGAUUCUGAAGCAGAGACAAGUCAUCCCCACUAUACCCUUUCCGAAUUCUUGACCCACAGAAUCCAUGACAUAAUAAACUGGUUGCUGUUUUGUACCAGUAA